rnacentral:rRNA from 1 species
GAUGAACGCUAGCGGCAGGCCUAACACAUGCAAGUCGAGGGGCAGCACAUAAGGUGGUUUACUACUUUUGGUGGCGACCGGCGGACGGGUGCGUAACGCGUAUGCAACCUGCCUCCAACAGGGGGAUAACGGAGAGAAAUUUCCACUAAUACCCCAUAAUAUCAGAAUCGGCAUCGGUUUUGGUUGAAAACUCCGGUGGUUGGAGAUGGGCAUGCGUUGUAUUAGAUGGUUGGUGAGGUAACGGCUCACCAAGUCAACGAUACAUAGGGGGACUGAGAGGUUAGCCCCCCACACUGGUACUGAGACACGGACCAGACUCCUACGGGAGGCAGCAGUGAGGAAUAUUGGUCAAUGGGGGCAGCCCUGAACCAGCCAUGCCGCGUGCAGGAAGACGGCUCUAUGAGUUGUAAACUGCUUUUACAAGGGGAUAAAUCGGUGUACGUGUACACCGUUGAAGGUACCUUGGGAAUAAGGAUCGGCUAACUCCGUGCCAGCCGCCGCCGUAA